CGGUGCUAGGCCCUGCGGGAGUUCAGUGAGAGGAUUAAGGAAGAAAUAAUUUACCAUCUCAAUGCAUUGAGAUUCCAACCCUGUGGGAAACUGCCUGAUCUGAAAACCUUUACAGAAAGCAGACUUUAUAAUCCUCAUUCGACGAGCAUCAUUCAUCCAAUAAGCUCUUACUGAGCGUCUUCUUCUGUGUCAAAUGUUGUGCCAGGCUUUGGGGACACAGAUGUGAAGACAGGAUUACACAUGGAGGAACCUGGACUUUGGGGUACCUCAGGGUACAGAGUGUAAUCCCACCCCUUUAUCACCUAUGCCAAGCCAAUCAUGGAAUGGUAUGCCCCCAGCCUCAAUGAUGGCUUCCGAAGUGGGAACUUGACCUUAAGUGUUCUGAGCAGAGAAAAACCUAGGACUUUUGUCCCAUGGCAAAGGAAAAAGAGCUUUCUUCUGGAUGCUGCAGAAGGUAGAUGUGAUACCUGGCACAGCUGCAGUCAUUUUAUGACUAUGAGGAAGGCUGGAGGACAGAAAAGGAAACAGAAGAGAGAAGAGCCCUGAUCCAAUUCUGCCUACACAUGGCGGGUUGCCAGACUACAGUUUGAACAGCCUACACAUUCCUUUUAAAUAAAAGGAAGUGAUUUAAAUAAAUCAAUCUGUAGCCAA
rnacentral:lncRNA from 1 species